rnacentral:lncRNA from 1 species
AGACGGCUGCUCCGUUCAUCAAAAUCUUGUUUGCAGCUGAUGUUCUAGUUUAAUGGCUCUGAAAGACACGAGAAAACACCCUUCGGCGCAGGACAGUUCUGAAAAACAUUCAUUAGGGAAUGAGCGUUUUAACACCCCUGCCAUCUGUGAGGUAAACCUGGUUGACAAGGGUACCUUUGGAUAAGGACUUGUGAGCACCCUGUACACAGAGUCACAGAGCUUCAACGGGGAUGCACCACACCACAGAGCAGGGGCUACAUCUCCUGCCUUAUUUCAGAGUCUCGCUUUAAACCCUUUCAGCCUGCACGCAUCUUCCCUCAGUUAUAAAAACGUAACAAAGCAGGCAAGCGAGCUGCCAAGUUUCGUCGAGGUAAAUGAUAUAUUAAAAAGCUCACCAGCCACUUGUUUCAACAUCUGGUCACUUCGCGCCGAGCUGUCAUCGUAGUGUUCGAAAAGUGAGAACGCGGCAGGCAUGUUCUCUAAGGAAGCUGUGCUCUCCAUGGCAGACAGCAGCCUGACAAGGGAACAGAACGCUACUCAGUCGGGCAAGCAUGAA